rnacentral:lncRNA from 1 species
ACAAGUAACUUCCAGGGGUAUUUGGUGGUAAAAAUAUCAAGCAAAAGGAAGGUGUAGAUGGGUGAAAUGGUGGCUGAAACACAAAAGGGACAGCAACCCUUUAGUUCAUGGUUUUGAUGGCUUUGGAAGGAAGUUCUUGUGCUUGAAAAUGAGAUGAAGGUUGAGAGUAAUUACUUGGAGUAUUGGCUGGUCAAAUGAGGGUAAAAUGAAGAGGAAAUUUCGUGGUUAUGAAGGAGGAAAGGGUGGAAGAGGAUAAGGGGACAAAACCUAGACUAGCUUGUGAUGGGAUGUGAGUUUAAGUGAUGUGAUCUUGUCUAGCCACUUGCUUGGGUGGUUGCUUAGAGAUAGGGUUAGUUAACUAACUAACUACUAGUUAUUUAGUUAGUUAGGAGUUCUAGUUAAGGAGAGGGAAGGUCUUAAUCUCGAAAAUUAGAAGAGGGAUUAAUAAGCAUUCUUAGUAAAAUGUCUUAAGUGAUUAAGCACUUAUUAGUUAAGUUGGCACUUAUCUCCACCAAUUCUCUUAUCUUAAUUGAUUUAGACAUCAUAAAACUUACAUGAAAUCACUUUAAGUCAUGACCCAUAACUAGUCAUUCACUAGAUAAUAAUACAUAUAUACAAAUACAUACAUGUAUACUUAGUAUAAAAUAACAAUGUAGUUUUUGUGUAUUUGAACUUUAAUGUUUAUGUUUUAUUCUUUUUAUUCAAAAACACUUAAAUACAUUCUAAUUAUACCUUAUAAUAAUUCAUUUUAUAUUUUUAUUUAUUUAAAUAUAAAAUUUAUUGACCAAUGUAUAAUUUCGUGACAUUUAACCGGUUAACCAUAUCGUUAAACACGUUUUGUCACUUUGGUUCGUAUAUUUGUCAAAUUUAGAUCCUCCACAACUAUUAAGCACAUGUUUUACAUAGAACCUAACUUAAUUAUCAACUAGAUACAUGUUGAUACAAAAAUUAAGUUUGUUGCGUUCAAAUGAUGUUAUAUGCUAAUUUUCACAAACCGGUGAUGGUUCGUAGUCAUACAUCAUAACGAAAUUUAUCAUUAGUUACUUGUUUUAUAUUUCACAAGAACUUAUUUAAAUAAAAGAGGUUAAAUUCCUUCGACCAUUCUUGAUAAAAUACUCACAUUUCUUAAUAAUCAAAACAUAGCAUCGUACGAUCGUUCCUAUUUUUACCAAUUGUUACAUUCUCCCCCCGUUAAAAGAAUUUCGCCCCAAAAUUCAACUUGUAGACAGGAUAUCACUAAACAAUUGGGGUGUUUCUUUUUUUAUUUUCAUUUGAUUCUCGCCUUCUCUGGUGAAUUCAGGUCCUCGCUUGGCGUUCCAACGGGCCUUCACUAUGGGCAUGCGACUUUGUUUCGUCCUUUUGACCUCCCGAUCCAUGAUUUCCACCGGUUCUUCGAUGAAGUUUAGACUCUCGUUGACUUCAAUUAGGUCAAGUGGAGUAACAAGAGUCUCAUCAGACAAGCUCUUCUUCCGAUCCUGGGAUGCCUUCAAUUGUUCACGGGUUUGAACAAUCUUCUAUGUAGUUUCUUGUAUGAUAUAGGGGAUGGUGGGAGUGCUGUUAGGAACUUGUCCCUUAGCUAGUUGCGUGUCACCUACCUCAACCUAGCACAGAGGCGAUCUACACUUGCUUCUGUAGAGAGCUUCGAAUGACACGACUUUGAUAUUAAUGUAAUAGCUGAUGUUGUAUAAGGAUUCGAUGAAUGGUUCUUCCUCUUUGUCUUUUAGUUUGAGGGUGGUAUAAAGGACUUCUUUAACGACUAUUGAAAACACGAGGCGAAUCGCCUGUCCCUUAUCCAAAAGGAUAGAUAGUGGUAUACUAUGCAAUCUCACAAUCUUCUUGUGAUUUUCUCCUAUCAACUUUUCUAUUUUUCUUUGUAGCCUUGGUCGGUAGAAAGUGUGUGGGUUUGGUUGAUUUGUCUGUGAUCACUCAAGUGGUAGCGUGUCCAUCCGCUGUCAUGGGUAACUUGUCAUGGAGUUCAUGGUAUUACUCAUAACUGAUUCAUCUAGCAUCUCUUUGUGUUUAUAAGUCGUAUAUAAUUAAGAUUGAAAAGACAGUCGAAUCAGUGAUUCUAUUCUAAGCCCACAUCCAAACAAGGAAAAGGAUUUAAAGCGGAAUUACCAACCCUAAGUCCGUAGAAUCUUAACUAUAUAGGGCUCCAAUAUAUACACUUAGUAAUCAUAGAUUCACUAGUAUGGGUCCAUAGUCUCUAUUUGAGUGGGGCGAUUAACUUGGGUGAGAUGGCAUUUACAACAACCCUUUUCUACAGCUACCGUAUUUAAGUUGAUUUUUGAACUCGGGUUGCUGUACGGAUGGUAUUCCCAGGAGAUCUUCUGGGAAUAUAUCGAGAAGGUUACGGGCUUUUGGAACAUCCCUGAUGUCUUUCUCUUCUUGUUUCUUAUCUACAGUGCGGGCUGGGACGGUGUGGUACCUUCUGUGUUGGUACUUCUGAGUCUUGAUGUAAAAGGUGAGUCGGGGGUUUGUGUCCGGUUUGUCUCCAUAGACGACGAUGAUUUUGUUACUCGAUGGGUUUAGGCGAACGGCUUUUCAUAAUAUAUGAUAUCGAUAUGUUUAGGAAACUAACUAAUACAUUGUUAAAAUGAAAAUGUCGUAAAUUUUUAUUGUGACCAGUUUUAGGAUGAUUUGAACGAAUUGGUUGAUUUAGUGUUAGAGUGCACCUUAUGUACACGUCUCUAGUGCUUUUGAUUAUUCCAAUUCUAUUGUAAACAUUUCGUUUAAGUUUUUGAGGUUUUUGGUUGAGAAAUUGAUUAAAUCUACGACUCACAAUACUCCUCUCCGCGUUGCUAUUAUAUAGUAUCCAUGCAUAUGUCCUAUCGGGAAUGAACGUACCGGAAUCUCAGCGGGGUCUAUUAUUUCUUUCCCACGCUCUGUUGCUAAAACACUUCCGACGCUCCUGACAUCUUUGUUUUUAGUCUCCGGGAACUCCUUUAUGAAAUGCCCUACUUCUCCACAUCUGUAGCAAGUCCAACUCAUCCUAGCUUUUGUGUUCUGGGUGGUCUGUUGAGCCGGCACCCUACAAAAAUUUGUGGUAUGCCCCCUUUUCAUUACAGUUCUUGCAGUGCAUUCCCUGCACUUUCCUUUGUGAUGAAAGCUACACUUGGUGCAUUUUGGCAGGUUUCCAACAUAUGGUCUUUUCGGCACUGAGGUAGUAGGGAUGGUGGUGGUAUGGAAUGUCACUGUUUGUUGUCUUUUGGUAGGUCCUUGAUUUGGGGCGUCUUUGCAGGAACAUACUCGGGGUGUCCCUGGUUGUUAUUACGAUUGGAACUUUCAGCGCCGUUCCCGCUUUUAUUUGUGUUGUUAGCGCCGAGGUGUGCCAUGACUACUGUUACCGCAAUUUGAAAUGUUGCAGGUUCUAUUUAUAGAACUAGUGUUGCGCCAGUAUGCUGAUAACCUUCAUAUGUUGGCAUGAUUCUAUUUCGCGAGUGGCCUCCUCUGUUCUCUGUUUUGUGAUGACUGUCCAGGUUGUAGCUGUAAGGGUUCUUUGUCUUAUAACGACUAUCUUCUUUUCUAAGGAGUGUAGGUGAUCCGUAUUGUUCUCUUGAUCUGCUUUCCGGUCUAUGGGUGCUAUGGCCCGAAGUACGGUGUAGUGAGUUUAUGUUGGUUCUGGAUCAUCGAUUGUCCUCUCUAGUCUAUAUGUGUGGCUAGGUAGUUAAUUGCGGGUUGCUUCCUGAAAUGAGAGGUGGAGGUUCUCACACUCCUCUUGAUAGGGUAAGGUUUAUUGAUGGUAUCUCCCAAACUUCUUUCUCCAUCUGGUCCCUUCUCGGAAAUCUUCUUCCUCGUAUUUCAUCUAUUGGUACUCUUCGAAAUCUUCUUCUGUAUCCUUCUCGAUCCAUCUGUUGGCUUCGGUGGCAGGAUAGUAGGGGUCUAUGUGGAGAUGAAGUCUAGCUGAUAUGCCUAUGCGAGAAGAUGGGUAAGAAGCAUAUGAAGAAUCUAAGUGUGUGGUUCGAUUGUAACGCAAAAUACUCCUAUAGUAUUUUAAAUUUGUAUGUUAAAGUUUUCUUUGUAUAGUUUGUUGGUAAGUUUUAGACUCGUCAUCCACUACGACCAUUCCUUGGCAUACGUUGAUCACCUCUUGGAUAAAUAUAGUUGAUCAGACUAUAUUCAUCCCAGACUUGAUUACAUACCCCGAGGCUUACUCGUAGUGUUUAACUUGUCUUAAUACUUUUUGUUUUGUUACCAAUAUGACUCCUUACUAGUAUGUUUGUAUGCACUUACAUUUUUCGUGAAAUCUCGGUCCAUUCCUGGUCCUUCUAUGGUUGCCUUGUGUAUACAGGUCAUAUACAGUCAAGAUCAAAUAGUCAGUCGAAUAAGUGAUCUUACCUGAUAUCCACAUCCAAACAAGGAAAAGGAAGUGAAAAUCACAAAUUCUAAGUCUAUAAAACCUUUAGUAUAUACCACCUUAACGUAUACACUUAGCAAACAUAGACUUACCAGCAAAGGACCCUAAUGUUGNAAACAUAGACUUACCAGCAAAGGACCCCUAAUGUUCUUGUUUUGAAAUUGUUAAGUCAGAGAGUUUUAGUCCCUAUGUAUUUAUAGUUUGUAUAUCUUAUGUGGUUUGAUAUACUUAGCUCACUAAAAACAAUGCUCUGAUACCAAUCUGUCACACCCCCAAACCAGGAUGGGAGAAAAGUCCAGGGGCGGGUGACUAUCAUAUAGUGUAUCAUAACGGUUGAGUAUAAAUGUUCAAAACAAACACAACCAACAUAUAUAUAAUUGAAAAUUUUACAUCAUUUGUACGUAUUACAUGUUUCAAAAUAUCAAUUACAAUAUGUUGUCAAAAGAUUUGUUUAGACACCUAAGCGUCCCAUCCUCAAAGCCAGUUGUUACCUAAUUUACUGAUUUCCUGAGAAUACAAGUUAUUUGAAAAGAGAGUAUCAACAUUUAAGUUGGUGAGUUCAUAAGCAUUUGUAUGUAUAUUUGGAAACCUUUUUCUAUGAAAUUUAGUAAUGUUUGUUUUACGGAAAAUCCUAUAUUUUCCCUAAAAUGAGAUGUGGCCUUAAAUGAACCAAGACCGAAGCGUAUAAGUAAUUUUCCUACUUAAAAUGAUGUUAUGCAGUUUUGUUUGUAUAUAAAAUUGUUUGAAGACUGUCUUUGCAUAAACUAAAAGUGUCAUUGUUGUAUCACGUGAGUUUUCAUUUUUAUCUUAUAACCAUGCAUGAUUGACCCAGACUGCCUUGUUCGCGACGUUCUUCAGGUGUCGAUUUCGUUAUGACAUUUGUCACCCCUAGACCUGCCGGUCUAGCUGUUUCAAGUAGCUAAGGUGUGGGAUUGUCGGUCCCAGUAUAGAUCUAUACACAACUAUCACGCUCUCCCUACAAGAGACUCUGGUUAUAUUUAACACAGGACUUUCGUGUGUACUUUAUAAGGUACCAUCAAGACAAAACUCAUUAAAUUUGUUCAACGAGUUUACGUGUUUUUGUACUGAAAAUGUUUGUAUAAAUGAUCAUCCUCUUAGACCGGGAUAGCUACGAAAAACAACGUGAAAUCUUUAGAUAUGCAUUUGACAAUAUUUUACCCUUUGCUCAACAGGAUACAAAUGGAGUAGAGUUUCAUAAACUAUAUAUGUAUAUUUUUGAUGUAGAAGACAAGUUUGUAAACAAAACAUAUAUAUGCAAAUGGUUAUAUAUAUGUAUAAAUUCUAAAAGAUGAUUUGGUGUGUUUCGUAAUUGUUGUUCAUAUUCUUACGUUUUUAUUAGAAACUUUGCAUGAAAUAAUCCUUAAGUUUGAUAGAAAAGACCUUUUUGUACUUAUAACUUGUGUAAAAAUUGUAAUUAAACAUAUUUAAAUGAUCGUGUUUUAACUUCCUUAAUGUAUAAACAUUGCUCAAAAAUGUUAGAAGGUGUUAAUAUAUCUAUAAACCACUUUUGAUAGUUUUACCCUUUACUGUCCCCGAUUUUAGAAAACUCAUAGAAAAAUCAUCGUAAGUCAAAAAAUGAAUCCGUCACCUCUGAGAAUAUAUAAAAUGAGUCUACUUUGUUCCUAAUUUUUAUUAUGAUUUUUAGUGGUCUCAAACUAGUGUGAAAAUGAACAUCCUCACAGACUGGUCCGAAAUCACUUCUGAAAAGACAGGCAGUUUUAUAAAAAUCGCCAUAAAUUGUAGAAAAAUCGUAUGAAGGCGUGCGAGUAGUCCUUAGAAAGGUAUAAACUUUAACUAUUUUCAUAUUGUACAUUUUUGAAAGAUAUUAAGUUUAAGAUGGUCAAAAUAGUCCGUGAACAGGACUCAACUUUUCUAUAGAAAGCUGUCAUUUAAAUUUAACUUAUGCUUAGUGUUCUAACUUGUAUUCCCCCCCUUUAAAACUUGAAGAAAACAUGAAAAUGUAGGGGUAUAAACUCACCUUAUGUGAAUACUUGAAGAAUGGAAGGUUGAAGAUGAAGAACUUUUGGUUGUUGGUUUGAUGCUCCAAAACAACGACUGUUUUGACUAUGUUGCUGUCACGAAAACUUCAUAGCAAAAGAGUGAAAAAAAAGGGUAGUUUACUCACUGUUUUGAAUCUAUAAUUUUGAGUAGCAUAACAAGUAACUUCCAGGGGUAUUUGGUGGUAAAAAUAUCAUGCAAAAGGAAGGUGUAGAUGGGUGAAAUGGUGGCUGAAACACAAAAGGGACAGCAGCCCUUUAGUUCACGGUUUUGAUGGCUUUGGAAGGAAGUUCUUGUGGUUGAAAAUGAGAUGAAGGUUGAGAGUAAUUCCCUGGAGUAUUGGCUGGUCAAAUGAGGGUAAAAUGAAGAGGAAAUUUCGUGGUUAUGAAGGAGGAAAGGGUGGAAGAGGAU